AGAGUUUGAUCCUGGCUCAGGAUGAACGCUGGCGGCGUGCUUAACACAUGCAAGUCGAACGAACCUUCGGGUUAGUGGCGGACGGGUGAGUAACGCGUGGGAAUCUGCCCUCAGGAGGGGGAUAACGGUUGGAAACGACCGCUAACACCCCAUAUGCCGAGAGGUGAAAUGAAUUUCGCCUGAGGAUGAGCCCGCGUCUGAUUAGCUUGUUGGUGAGGUAAUGGCUCACCAAGGCUUCGAUCAGUAGCUGGUCUGAGAGGAUGAUCAGCCACACUGGGACUGAGACACGGCCCAGACUCCUACGGGAGGCAGCAGUGGGGAAUUUUCCGCAAUGGGCGAAAGCCUGACAGAGCAACGCCGCGUGAGGGAUGAAGGCCUCUGGGCUGUAAACCUAUUUUCUCAAGGAAGAAGAUAUGACGGUACUUGAGGAAUAAGCCACGGCUAAUUCCGUGCCAGCAGCCGCGGUAAUACGGGAGUGGCAAGCGUUAUCCGGGAUAUUGGGCGUUAGCGUCGCAGCUGCGUUCCAAGUCUGCUGUAAAUACGUGGAGCUAACUCCAUCAUCGCAGUGAACUGUAGGCUGAGUAUGUAGGGCAGAGGGAAUUCCCGGUGUAGCGGUGAAUGCGUAGAUAUCGGGAAGAACACCAGUGGCGUGCGCUCUGCUGGUCCAUAACUGACGCUCAUGACGAAGCCCGGGGGAGCGAAAGGGAUAGAUACCCCUGUAGUCUGCGGUAACGAUGAACACUAGGUGUCGGGGGAUCGACCCCCUCGGUGUCGUAGCUAACGCGUACUGUUUCGCUUGGGAUACGCAUGCAGUGUGACUCUUGAUGGCCUUGACGGGGGCCCGCACAAGCGGUGGAGUAUGUGGUUUAAUUCGAUGCAACGCGAAGAACCUUACCAGGAUUUGACAUCCUGCGAACCUCUUAGAAAUUUGAGGGUGCCUUCGGGAACGCAGUGACAGGUGGUGCAUGGCUGUCGUCAGCUCGUGUCGUGAGAUGUUGGGUUAAGUCCCGCAACGAGCGCAACCCACGUUUUUAGUUGCCAGCAUUUAGUUGGGCACUCUAGAAAGACCGCCGGUGAUAAACCGGAGGAAGGUGUGGAUGACGUCAAGUCAUCAUGCCCCUUACAUCCUGGGCUACACACGUACUACAAUGCUACGGACAAAGGGCAGCAAACUCGCGAGGGCAAGCAAAUCCCAUAAACCGUGGCUCAGUUCAGAUCGUAGGCUGCAACUCGCCUACGUGAAGCAGGAAUCGCUAGUAAUCGCAGGUCAGCAUACUGCGGUGAAUACGUUCCCGGGCCUUGUACACACCGCCCGUCACACCAUGGAAGUUGGCCACGCCCGAAGUCGUUACUCCAACCCUUGUGGAGGAGGACGCCGAAGGUGGGGCUGAUGACUGGGGUGAAGUCGUAACAAGGUAACC
rnacentral:rRNA from 1 species